rfam:Dipodomys ordii contig_94440, whole genome shotgun sequence.
UGGCUCAGUGGUAGAGCACUUGCCUUGCAUGCAUGAUGCCCUGGGUUCGAUUCCUCAG